UGUUUCAAUAUUUUUUGUGUUAUUUCAGAUCCAACAAGCAUAUCAACGGAUCCACAGUAAUGCUGAAAAGGCUCAACCAAACUUGGCAUUACUCAGAACUUUCCUCUCGAAGGCUCAAUUCUUGGGGAAAAAUUUUGAAACGAUUGAAGAUGAUUACAUCCGUGCAUGCGGAAUACUACUCACGAGAAUGGGUUCGAGAGGCUGCAAGCGGAACUGGAUGGACCGGGAGCUGAGCAUCAACCAAUUAACACUGGCGCCUUUGAUAAGGUGGGUGGAUCCGGCACAGCUGGUAAGCCACAUUCAAUUGGGAUUUCAUCCACAUAUAAUCUGUCUCGGUUUGGCAGAAAGGAGGGGGAAUUACCUCCUUCUAGUCGAUGGUGGUGAAACAAUUGAAUGUGGUGAUUCGAGCCUUCAAGCGCUCGACACCUUUUUCAAAAUAUUUGAUGUUCUCAACGUCAAAAUCCCAUCCCUGCUGAGGAGCCUAUUGGACUUGGUUCAACUAGAGGUGUACCAGACCAAGAAGGCCACUCCCAAGCCAAUGGUUUUGAGUGUCCUCAACCUCUACUCGCGUGCUCAUCGCGCCGAAGAAGGUGUGUAGGAGAAAUGCAACGGUUUUGAAGACACCAAAGGAAUGCGACGUUGACAAAAUGUAAUGCUUAAUUCCCGCUAACCUCAAUAAUCAUAUUGAAUCAAAAGUUAAAUUGCAAGAGAAAAAUGUA